CCGUAAUAACAAAGCAUUCAGAGACAGCCUCAGUGUCCCACCAUGCAACAGUGAGCUAGCAGCAGCAGCUAACCACCACAUUUGACCCUGCGUGUGCCAUGAUGAAUUAGACAUCCGGGCUGUGCGUAUGGAAGAUGGCGACACUUAUCCUCCCUGGUGAAUGGAUCAAAAACUGGGAAAAAUCAGGAAAACACGAGUUUGUACAACUCUGCAAAGAACUUACAGAAAAAACAGAUCAUGGACAUGACAUUAGAGACAUACAGGCCGCCUUAUACGAGAUCUGCUGGCAAGUUGUACAUGGGAACCUGAAGUUGGAGCUUGUUGCCAGCGUCCUUGGGGACAUGAUGGAACUCCGAGAUGACAUGCCAUCAAUUUUAGCAGAUGUUUUCAGUAUACUAGAUUUAGAGACUGGUGCACUGGAAGAAAAAAACAAACGUGAACAUUACACACAACUGGUGGGAGCAUGUUUGUUUUUUGUUCCUGAGGCCAUCCUGAAAGAGAGGCUGGAUCCAGAAACCCUUGAAUCUCUAGGACUUAUAAAACAAGCCCAUCAGUUCAAUCAGAAGAUUGUAAAAAUCAAGACUAAACUAUUUUACAAGCAGCAGAAGUUUAACUUGCUAAGGGAGGAAAAUGAGGGCUAUGCCAAACUUAUCACAGAGCUUGGCCAAGACCUCUCAGGCAACAUCACCAGCCACCUUGUCCUGGAGAGCAUCAAGUCCCUCAUAGGAUGUUUCAACUUGGACCCUAAUCGUGUUUUGGACAUCAUCCUGGAGGUGUACGAGAGUCGAUCUGACCAAGAUGAGUUCUUCCUGUCUCUCAUCAAGUCCUACAUGUGUGAGCCACUCACCCUUUGCCACAUCCUGGGCUUUAAGUUCAAAUUCUACCAGGAGCCCAAUGAGGAAACCCCCAAGUCACUUUACCACAUUGCUGCUGCCCUGCUUCACCAUAACCUGAUAGAGCUGGAAGAUCUCUACGUACAUCUUAUGCCAGUAGAUGCCACCAUUAUAGAGGAACACAAACGAGAUAUCUCAGAGGCCAAGCAGAUUGCUCGCAAGCUGGUCAUGGUUGUGUUGCCCUCAGAGAAAAGUGAAGACAAAGACAAGGAGAAAGAAAAGGAGGAGGAGAAGAAUGAAAAGCCACCUGAUAACCAGAAGCUUGGGCUGUUGGAAGCGCUGCUUAGAAUUGGAGACUGGCACAACGCCCUAAGUAUUAUGGACCAGAUGCCGUCCUUCUAUGCUACUUCUCACAAGGCCAUUGCACUGGCACUCUGCCAGCUUGUGCACCUGACUGUGGAACCUCUUUACAGAAGGGCUGGCCUCCCGAAAGGGGCAAGGGGAUGUGUGAUGCAUCCACUGAGGAGCAAGCGAGCCCCUCGGCCUGCAGAGAGCUUCGAGGACCUACGCAGGGACACAUUCAGCAUGAUCUGCUACCUAGGUCCUCACCUCUCUCAUGACCCUAUCCUCUUCGCCAAGAUUGUGCGUCUGGGCAAGUCCUUCAUGAAAGAGUACCAAAGUGAUGGCAGACCUGAUGUCAAAGACAAAAUGGAAACAUUAUUGAGUUGUUUCCUGAGCAUUGCAGAUCAGGUCCUACUCCCUUCUCUUUCUCUGAUGGAGUGUAAUGCUUGCAUGUCUGAGGAACUCUGGGGUCUCUUUAAACUCUUUCCCUACCAGCACAGGUACCGGUUAUAUGGACAGUGGAAGAAUGAGACAUAUACCAGCCAUCCACUGUUGGUUAAGGUCAAAGCUCAGACUGUGGAAAGGGCCAAAUACAUAAUGAAGCGGUUGACCAAAGAGAAUGUGAAACAAUCUGGAAGGCAGAUUGGAAAACUGAGCCAUAGCAAUCCCACCAUCCUCUUUGAUUAUAUGCUGUCUCAGAUCCAAUGGUACGACAACCUAAUCGUUCCAGUGGUGGACUCCUUGAAAUACCUCACAUCCCUCAACUAUGAUGUCUUGGCCUAUUGCAUCAUUGAGGCUCUGGCAAAUCCCGAGAAGGAGAAGAUGAAACACGAUGACACCACCAUCUCCUCAUGGCUUCAGAGCCUGGCAAGCCUGUGUGGAGCCGUGUUCAGAAAAUACCCAAUUGAGUUGGCUGGCCUUCUUCAAUAUGUCACUAAUCAGCUAAAAGCAGGAAAGAGUUUUGACCUGUUGAUCCUGAAAGAGGUGGUGCAGAAAAUGGCUGGCAUUGAGAUCACAGAUGAGAUGACCUCAGAGCAGUUAGAGGCCAUGACCGGAGGGGAGCAACUCAAAGCUGAGGGUGGCUACUUCGGCCAGAUCAGGAACACUAAGAAGUCAUCACAGCGUCUGAAGGAUGCGCUGCUGGACCAUGAAUUGGCCUUGCCUCUGUGUUUACUCAUGGCCCAGCAACGAAAUGGUGUGGUUUUCUUAGAGGGUGGAGAGAAACACCUUAAACUUGUUGGCCACCUCUAUGACCAGUGUCAUGACACGUUGUUGCAGUUUGGUGGCUUUCUGGCCUCCAAUCUUAGCACUGAAGACUACAUUAAGCGGGUUCCCUCCAUUGACAUCCUUUGUAACCAGUUCCACACUCCACAUGAUGCUGCUUUCUUCCUGUCUCGGCCAAUGUAUGCCCAUCAGAUUUUGUCCAAGUACGAUGAGCUGAAGAAAACAGAGAAAGGCAACCGGCAGCAGCAGAAGGUACACAAGUAUGUGGCAGCCUGUGAACAGGUGAUGACACCAGUGCAUGAGGCUGUAGUGUCCCUCCAUCCAGCCAGGGUCUGGGACGAUCUUCGCCCUCAGUUCUAUGCCACCUUCUGGUCCCUCACCAUGUAUGACCUGGCCGUUCCACACUCUGCCUACGAGCGUGAGGUCAACAAGCUCAAGGUCCAGAUCAAGGCCAUUGAGGAGAACCCGGAGAUACCCUUGAAUAAGAAAAAGAAGGAAAAGGAACGCUGCACUGCCCUGCAAGAAAAACUGCAGGAGGAGGAGAAGAAACAGCUGGAGCACGUCCAAAGGGUUCUACACCGUCUCAAACUUGAGAAAGACAACUGGUUGUUGGCAAAAUCCACAAAGAACGAAACAAUAACAAAGUUCCUGCAGCUCUGUCUGUUCCCUCGCUGCAUCUUCUCUUCCAUCGACGCUGUGUAUUGUGCCCGUUUUGUCGAGCUGGUCCACCAGCAGAAGACGCCCAACUUCUGCACCCUCCUGUGCUAUGACAGGGUGUUCUCCGCCAUCAUUUAUACUGUGGCCAGCUGUACGGAGAAUGAGUCUCACCGCUACGGACGCUUCCUCUCCUGCAUGCUAGAGACAGUGACCCGUUGGCACAGCGACCGCGCAAUCUAUGAGAAGGAGUGCGUCAAUUACCCAGGAUUCCUGACCAUCUUCAGAGCCACAGGCUUCGAUGGCGGGAACAAAGCAGAUCAACUGGAUUAUGAGAACUUCAGGCAUGUGGUGCACAAAUGGCACUACAUGCUGACUAAAGCUUCGGUUCACUGCCUAGAGACAGGAGAUUACACCCACAUCCGGAAUAUUCUCAUCGUGCUCACCAAGAUCCUGCCCUGCUAUCCUAAGGUCCUAAACCUGGGCCAAGCGCUGGAGUGCCGUGUCCACAAGAUCUGCCUCGAGGAGAAGGACAAGAGGCCAGACCUCUAUGCCUUAGCAAUGGGUUAUUCAGGUCGGUUGAAAGGCCAGAAGGUGCAUAUGGUCCCCGAGAAUGAGUUUCACCACAAAGAGCAGCCAGCACGCAGUGCCACACCUGCCAAUCAACAGAACGGCCCAGGCAGCACAGGCAAGCCUGCCACCAGCACAAGCAAGACCGAGGAGGGGACGUCAGAGGAUGGUGAUCGGGGCAAGGAUAAAUCUCAGGGGACCACAAAGCCGGUGAACAAAGCCAACAGUGCAGCGGCCAAAGUGACCACCAGCAAUGGGAACGGUGCUCUUAACAGCACCAAAGCCAUUAAAGAACGAGACGACAAAGAGAAAAGUGGGAAGGAGAAAAAAGAGAAAAAGGAAAAGACACCAGGCAGCACUCCUGAGACCAAGGCGGAGAACCGUCGGGAGAAGCAGAGAGACGAGAGAGCAGGGAAGGAGGAGCGGGUGGCACGUGAGGGUAAGGAGAAGACCCCCAAGGCAGACAGGGAGAAAGUGAAGGCUGAGGAGAAGAGCGGCAAAGACGACAAGGCCAAAGCCGGCAACGGGGAGCCCAUGGAGCCGUCUAGGGAUCGCGAUGCCAUCAAGGAGUCCAAGAGCAAGGAGAAAGGAGACAGAGGAGCUGUGGCCGGGUCCCUCAAGUCACCAGUUCCCAGAUCGGAGUCAGCCGAAUCGGAGAGGGAUCACAAAAGACGAAAGCUCGACAGUCACUCUUCUCCGUCCCACUCCUCGUCUGUUAAGGUUAGUAUGGCUUGAGGAUGGCAGUGCCAGUUUCUUCUCUAUCUGCCGGAGUGUUCCCUGCCGUUGCACAUUCCAGCAGCCCCGAAGAUCACCAAGGAGUGUUGUCGUACAUGCAGGCAUGACGUCUGGAAAUUCCAACCAAAUCCAUGGGAGUUGGAAAGCAUUCCAUGGACAUCAGCAUGAUGUUUUGCAGAAUUUGGAGAAAACCCCUCAAAGACUUAGCCAAGAGAAUAUUGUGUAUAUUGAGUAUUUUCAUAUUGAAAUAUUUAUCUAUUUUCAUAUUAAUGAAAGCAGUCAGUGUGCCUUUGGAAGAAAUGUUUUUUUUUUUUUUUUUUUUUGGAGAAUUUCUAUAUAUCUUGAAGAUUUUUUGAGAAUAAUCUCCACGUGAAGUGAAAUGGCUUGCCAAAUCAAGAGCUUGCGCCUUCUCCAAUGGCAAUUUUUUUAAUUUAUUUUUUGAACACCGAGAGCCGUGUUUUACUACUUGAAAUGGUGUUCCAAGAUUUUUUUUUUUUCCCGUUUUUGCAAGCUGAGAAGAUAUCCUGGUUAAAGUGAUGUGAAGUAUUUUACUUUCCCCUCAACGUCUGAGUCGGAUGGUGUCCAGCCCACCACUCUGCUGUAUGAUCGCCUCUGCUGCAGCUGAGUCAUCAGUCCUCCUUCUAUCUCCGUUUGUUGAAACGGCCUGCACGCCACCUUCACAUCACGGUGCGUGUCCAGUCAGACCAGCCGGCCCCUACAACGCCAUCCCCACAAAGUACCAGCCAUCGGCAUCAACAGUCACACUACCUCCUGGCAAGCCACCAGCAACCAAGAUCAACGGAGAAAGUGAAUGUCACAGUUUUUAAUCAGCCAAAAGUUCAGAGGAAAGUAAGCCCGCCCCUACAAAGAGAGAGAGUGAGGGAAAGAGUGGGCGAAGCCUGGAUCGUCUGGAGCGUUGCCCAAACCUGGAAGCUUGUGAUAGGUCUUUAUUUUACCCUUCCACCAGAGAAAUAGGCUCCCUGUGUCCUAUCCAUUCCUGAACUGACAAUAGCAACGAACCCAAGGAGUCCACAUCCAAGCACCACGCCAACUACAAUUCAGUUUCCCGGUCCAAGAGCAGAGAGAGAGAGAUGGA